AACGAACGCUGGCGGCAUGCCUAACACAUGCAAGUCGAACGAGACCUUCGGGUCUAGUGGCGCACGGGUGCGUAACGCGUGGGAACCUGCCUUUAGGUUCGGAAUAACUCAGAGAAAUUUGAGCUAAUACCGGAUGAUGUCUUCGGACCAAAGAUUUAUCGCCUUAGAUGGGCCCGCGUUGGGUUAGCUAGUUGGUGGGGUAAAGGCCUACCAAGGCGACGAUCCAUAGCUGGUCUGAGAGGAUGAUCAGCCACACUGGGACUGAGACACGGCCCAGACUCCUACGGGAGGCAGCAGUGGGGAAUAUUGGACAAUGGGCGAAAGCCUGAUCCAGCAAUGCCGCGUGAGUGAUGAAGGCCUUAGGGUUGUAAAGCUCUUUUACCCGAGAUGAUAAUGACAGUAUCGGGAGAAUAAGCUCCGGCUAACUCCGUG
rnacentral:rRNA from 1 species